ACCACAACGGUGGAGCCUGCGGUUUAAUUGGACUCAACGCCGGGCAGCUCACCGGAUAAGACAGCUGGAUGAUAGCCGGGCUGAAGACUCUGCUUGACUAGCUGAGAGGAGGUGCAUGGCCGUCGUCAGUUCGUACUGUGAAGCAUCCUGUUAAGUCAGGCAACGAGCGAGACCCACGCCAACAGUUGCCAGCAUGUCCUCCGGGAUGAUGGGGACACUGUUGGGACCGCCUCUGCUAAAGAGGAGGAAGGAAUGGGCAACGGUAGGUCAGCAUGCCCCGAAUUAUCCGGGCUACACGCGGGCUACAAUGGUCAGGACAAUGGGUAUCGACACCGAGAGGUGGAGGCAAUCUCCUAAACCUGUCCUUAGUUCGGAUUGUGGGCUGCAACUCGCCCACAUGAAGCUGGAAUCCGUAGUAAUCGCGUUUCAAAAUAGCGCGGUGAAUAUGUCCCUGCUCCUU
rnacentral:rRNA from 1 species